AGGACUGACUGUUUUUGCCCUUGUGCCUA
rnacentral:piRNA from 1 species